rnacentral:rRNA from 1 species
UACGUAGGGGGCAAGCGUUGUCCGGAUUUAUUGGGCGUAAAGAGCGUGUAGGCGCCAGGUAGGUCCGUUGUGAAAACUCGAGGCUCAACCUCGAGACGUCGGCGGAAACCCUCUGGCUAGAGUCCGGAAGAGGAGAGUGGAAUUCCUGGUGUAGCGGUGAAAUGCGCAGAUAUCAGGAAGAACACCCGUGGCGAAGGCGGCUCUCUGGGACGGUACUGACGCUGAGACGCGAAAGCGUGGGGAGCGAACAGG